GAAACUCCUAAUCAACCAUAACAUUUCACAAUUAAACGAUACCAUUGAUAUCUUGACCAUUUUCAUAAGAAAUCUCUUACCACUGGUGAAUGGAGUGAAGUGUCAACUAGCAAGGAGUGACAUCUUUUUUUAUUAACUUAUUCAUGAGGUUGAUGUCUAAGCCUUAGAGUAAGGAAUAUUUUUCUUCUUAAGUCCUACUAUAUUAUAAAAGUUAAUGAUUGUUUGCUCUUUGUUUUUUAAAUUACUUUAUGCAAUUGUUUUGGCUACCAUGUGCGAGCAGGUAAAGCGGGAAAAAAAAAGUUUAUACAGUGGAUACACGCAUAAACAUGGAACUAAUGUAUUGUACUCUCAUCUGUAUGUCGCAUCUAAGUUUCUUACCUAUGUCAUCAACAGCACUUGUCUGUCACCCAAAUCAUUGUUAGAUUGUAAAUUAGCUAAUUUAAUCUGAUUUUGGUUGAGAUUCAUUUUACAUUUACUCAGUUGUCAGUCUGAAUGGGGUUCCAUAUAUAUGUGUGAGCUAAAAUCGUAAUGCAUAAGUCAGUCUGUUUCCAGGUUGCUUAAGCAGUAUCAGAUGUGACCACGAUGCACAAACUCAUACAUGGUAAAAGGCAGCUUCCUAUAUGCAUGAAUUUCUCUAAUGUUCCACGGAUAUUAUAAAAGUUAGUAUCUAAUAAUCAUUUCUAUCGAUAUAGAUACCUUCUUCUGUCUGUUUAUUUUGACAUCGUACCACAAACAAGUUGUUGCGAUGUGCGUAUUUUUAUUUAUUUAUUUAUGAAACAAUACAAUUGAAUUUUUAGGUAUAUUCUAGUUUAAAACAGAUUACAUUUUUAUUGUUGGGCAGGCAGUUUUUUGUUAUUGGAUCACAUCAAACCUUUUUUCCCUUGUUUAUGGCGCCGUUCUCAAGCGCAAAAUAGUAAGGAAAUUCCUGAAUCUCCCUGAUAUAACUCGGUCUUCUAAUUCUGCACCUGCCUCUUCAGUUUGGGGUGUGAAGAACCCUAAACCCUAAUUCUGGUUCUAGUUCCUAUUCUUCUUCUGCUGCAUUGCCAGCUUCAGGAUCUGAGCCGAUCAAGGCAGAUCGCAGAAUUUCUUCAUCUUCUGUUAUGAGCCAGCGAUAAGAAAACCUAGAAAAGCAAGUGAAAGGUAGAAACAAAAACAAGAAAAGGUGACAAAUGUCUGGGACUAGCUAGCAAUUGGUCAGUUAUGUAGAAGAACAAUCUUUCAGUGGCUAAUUUUCUGAUCUGACGCACGAAAAGCAAUUUUUAGUCGGAUGAGACUGUCGACAUGUAACCCAGUAUAGAUCAUGGUAUGUUCUUUAGCACUCAAAUUGUAUGAGCUGCGUCCAGGAGGAGAUUAUGUUCCCGGAUUUUUACUGAAUGCCCCUUUAGUCUUUUCUAAUGUUACUGAUAUUUUAAAAUAUGCUCUCUCACUGUUUGAUUUUCCUGUUUCUUUUUGUUGUUUUAAGAGCUGCGAAAGGGGUUGUUGGGACCUGUAAUGUAUUCUUUGAACAUUUCUCUAGUAUUUAAUUGGUUAAAUUGGUGAAAA